rnacentral:tRNA from 1 species
GCUGAUGUGGCGGAAUAGGUAGACGCAAGGGACUUAAAAUCCCUCGGUAGCAAUACCGUGCCGGUUCGAGUCCGGCCAUCAGCACCA